AGCUACUACUCUGAAGACUGCAAGAAGAAAGAUGGAAGUAAUGCACCUGACGGAAAACUGUGUUUGAUUACACCUGCCAGACAUAAGCUUGGAACAGGCCAUGGGUGUUAUACCGGAAAGUGUAAAAAUGGCCGAUGUGUAAAUGCAGCCUAUUCUAGAUGCGCAACUAUGUAGGACUUACACAGCUGUGAAUAAAUAUUCUCUGCAAAUUAGCGUUGCCAAAAUAUCAUGUGCUCAAAUGUAUGACUUUGCAACUACCGCCUGAAGCAGGUGGAAAUAAAAUGAACUCGCUGCAAGAAAA
rnacentral:lncRNA from 1 species